rnacentral:rRNA from 1 species
AUGAAUGCCCUGGCCAACCACUCCGUGGUGUCAUCUCUGCCUCUGCGACCUCCAUUUACCACGCUCUCUCACACAGACCUCAUCAAUUUUCAUGGCGCGUCGGUCUGGUAUCUUCUGCUCCCCGCUAUUUAUACCCCGCUCCUUUUCCCUGUGUCGUUCAGUUCACUCCACCUCUCCACUCCACUCCCACUGAAGCAGCGGCGGAAGAAGAAGAAGCUAGAGGACAUGGGGGCGCAGAGAGCUCUCCUCGCGAGCUUCCUGCUCGCCGCGUUGGUCACCCAGGCCUUCGUCUCCGUCUCGGCCAGGACCGGCCCAACGGACAAGGCAAGCCAAGAUGACGUGAAGAAGCCGGACUGCGUGCCGUCGCUCGACCCGCACAAUUUCCCCGGCCACGGGGGCACCACGGUGCCGCUUCCCUCGCACGGGGGCUCCUCCGGCACGCCCCCCUACCACGGAGGCUCCGGCACGACGCCGUCGCACGGCGGCUCCGGCUCGACUCCGUCGCACAGCGGCUCUGGGUCGUUGCCUGACCCUUCGCACGGCGGGUACGGGACGCCGCCUUCGCACGGGGGCUCUGGAUCGUUGCCUGACCCAUCGCACAGCGGAGGAGGUUACGGGUCCACCCCAGAUGCGCCGUCACACGGCGGAGGCGCGUACGGGAGCUCCCCGACGCCUUCCACUGGCGGUGCCUACGGCAGCUCACCCACUCCGUCCCACGACGGAGGCGCCUACGGGAGCUCCCCGACGCCGGCCCACGACGGAGGCUCCUACAGCGGAACUCCGGCUGCACCGUCGCACAGCAGCCACGGGUCUGUGACACCAACGCCGCUCGUCCCAGUCGACCCCAACAGCCUCGGGACAUGCGACUACUGGAGGACGCACCCCAUGCAGAUCUGGUCGGCACUGGGGAGCUGGCCGAGCUCGGUGAGCCACUUCUUCGGCGCCGCCGGUGGCGCGGUCGCCGGCGGGCCGAGCAUGAGCAUCCAGGACGCGCUGGCGAACACGAGGACCGACGGCGCCGGCGCGCUGCUGCGCGAGGGCACCGCCGCGCUGCUCAACUCCAUGACCCGCCCGGGGUUCGCCUACACCACCCAGCAGGUGAGGGACGCGUUCGCGGCGGCCGCAGCCGGCGGUUCCGACAGCGCUGCGGCGGCGCAGGCGGCGGUGUUCAAGAAGGCCAACGAGGGGAGGAAGGCGUAG